CGGUGGCAAACAAGCAUACGACCCGUCUGAUGGUAAGCAGUCUCCGUAGCCUAUGGACGCUGGCAACUUAAGAGGAGUUGCGCGUUGCCGACCCUAACACUCCGCACCCUCGUUGAGCUCUGGCAACCUUACUCACAACACUAUAAGUAGGGUGCAGGGUUAUUUGGCUGCGGUUUUCUAUAAGGUGGAGGUACUUCCCCAGUUGGGCUCUGCUCUAGAUCUGGAAUGACAUCCGCUGUGCUGUGCCCUACCACACAAAGCGAUAUGACAUUCACCACCCCCAUACCCACACCUCUCUUUUGGGCGUAGUUUAAAGACAUACCCGGGUCCAAAGACCAUCCUGUCUAAAUCUUUUAAUUGAAAUACUAAUCAAUGAAAAAUUAAGUUUACAUCCUGCUCUAAAAAAAACAAAAUUCGUUACAAAUAAUACUAAGAAACAUGUAGUUAUAUCAGACAGAUAUUGUAGUAUUAUCAGAGCUUAAAACAAUCAUUGACAAUUGAAUUUAAAAAUCGGAUGCAGCAUAGAUAAACAUACACCAGCCUUACCACGAGUUUGACACUGAGUGAUGUAAAUCCGCUGGCGUGAGCGUAACUUACUUUCUAUGCAUGUAAAAGUACAUGGACAGUGCAGCAGUGGUACGUCAGUAUCAAACUCGUGGUAAGGCUACAGCUCGUAAAGGAACUUUAUUCUUCAAAAACUGAUGGAAUUGUUGCAUUUUUUUAGUUGUUUCCUAAUGAUAGCUAUGAUAAAUAUUUAAUAGCGUUCAUUUGUAUUUGAUUUGUAACGUUUUACAUUUAUUAAAACAUUACAGGUGUGAAAUAGUACUACAUACUGUACUAUGCUUAUUGGAGAUGCAACGGUUAUCCGGUCAUUAUCCGGUAUCCGGCCUAACCAGCCAUAUUUUUACUAUCCAUAUCGGAUACCGGAUAGUUGCAUAGUCCGGCCGAGGCGAAGUUGAGGACGACAAACCGGGCUGAAAGUGGACGCUUACGGCCGUAGGGCAAAGUAUAUUUAUUAACAUUGUUUUCUUAUCUCCGUUUUUUAUCGUCUUCAGUUAUCUGCGCCAGUGAAAAAACUAAGCAUGCAGGUUCCAAAUAAGCAAAAGGACGAAGCUUUCAAG